rnacentral:lncRNA from 1 species
CCCGACUCUUCAAUAUUAAGCGUCUCUUAAUAACAAAAGCGAACUGCAUGUUAUUUAUGGAAACUGCAUAAUAUCCACUUCGCUAAUUGCAUGGUUGCUCACUUUCCCAGGACCACAUCACCUCCCAUUUGUUUCCAACCACUGUGGCCACCAUGUAUUUUACGUGUAAGACAGAAAUAAUGAACUGCAGGUUUUCAGGGUAAUCAUGUGCUGUUUCUAUGGUUCACACAGGGAAUGUGCCAUCUGGAUGGAAGGGUAUGUAGUCCCAUGACGAUGUCAUAUCACCUAUCAUCUGCCGUACAACUACGGAUCCUGGGGGAAAUUCCAAGUGGAACCCGGGGCCAGAAGGACUCACAUUCAGAUGCCUCACACAGCAGUGCCAGUUGCACUGUGACAGUGGAGACAUGA